rnacentral:rRNA from 1 species
AUUAGAUACCCUGGUAGUCCACGCCGUAAACGAUGAGUGCUAAGUGUUAGGGGGUUUCCGCCCCUUAGUGCUGCAGCUAACGCAUUAAGCACUCCGCCUGGGGAGUACGACCGCAAGGUUGAAACUCAAAGGAAUUGACGGGGGCCCGCACAAGCGGUGGAGCAUGUGGUUUAAUUCGAAGCAACGCGAAGAACCUUACCAGGUCUUGACAUCCUUUGACCACUCUGGAGACAGAGCUUUCCCUUCGGGGACAAAGUGACAGGUGGUGCAUGGUUGUCGUCAGCUCGUGUCGUGAGAUGUUGGGUUAAGUCCCGCAACGAGCGCAACCCUUGAUUUUAGUUGCCAGCAUUUAGUUGGGCACUCUAAAGUGACUGCCGGUGCAAGCCGGAGGAAGGUGGGGAUGACGUCAAAUCAUCAUGCCCCUUAUGACCUGGGCUACACACGUGCUACAAUGGAUAGUACAAAGGGUCGCGAAGCCGCGAGGUGGAGCUAAUCCCAUAAAACUAUUCUCAGUUCGGAUUGUAGGCUGCAACUCGCCUACAUGAAGCCGGAAUCGCUAGUAAUCGUGGAUCAGCAUGCCACGGUGAAUACGUUCCCGGGCCUUGUACACACCGCCCGUCACACCACGAGAGUUUGUAACACCCGAAGUCGGUAGGGUAACCUUUAUGGAGCCAGCCGCCGAAGGUGGGACAGAUAAUUGGGGUGAAGUCGUAACAAGGUAGCCGUAUCGGAAGGUGCGGCUGGAUCACCUCCUUUCUAAGGAA